GCUAUGUUCAUGUCUGUGUAUUUAAUUUUGUUCUUCGUUUGGUUCAUUUCUUUGAUUGCUUAGUUCAUUUUAUCUGUUGAGUGUAUCAUUUCACAUUUCGAGUUUCCCCUUUUGAAUCAACAAUCAAACACUCAGCAGGCACAAUCCAUGACCCAAAACUAGCAGCAUCAGUUAGUUUUUGGAGCCGCUGUGGUCACAUGAGAUGUGAGUUAGGCCACUUCUCAAAACAACGAUCACGAAUUUGCUUGAAUUCACUUCACUUCAAUUUCCAUGAGAGUUAAACAAACCAUCACAUAUCAGUUACCAUUACAUGUCACCAAAACUGCUGUUCCCGCCUCACUAAAAGCUCACACCAAUUGGUCUUCCACGUGAACUGACCAAUCACAUCAAUAUAUACAUGUACACACACACACACACACACACACACACACACACACCUAUAUUAUAUCGGUGUUCUAGCAGCAAAUUAAGGCAGAAAAUGAGAAUGAAACCCAUGCCACUAAUAUUCUUGUUCACAGUUAUUUUGUUGCAUCUUCACUCACUGCAGAUGCAUAGUUUGCCAAUUGCACCAGCGCUGUAUGUGUUUGAGGAUUCACUGUUUGACAGUGGUAACAAUAAUGUUUUGCCAACUAUUUGUAAGGCAGACUAUCUGCCUUAUGGGGUGAAUUUUGUCAAGGGAGCCACUGGAAGAUUUACCAAUGGCAGAACAUUAGCAGAUUUUAUAGGUAAAUUUUUAGAAAAACUAAUAAAAAUGGCUUGAAAACUUUGAGAUUUAACGAUAAGGACAAAAUAAAGGGUAAAGUGAAUAGUAUAAUGUUUGACUUUUUAGUAUAAAAAUGUGGUUUUUCGUUAAAGUGAACAAUACCGCGGGUUUUUCGUUAAAACUCCCUAAAUUUUUUGGUUUAUUUUCGGUUCAUAUCUUUUAUUGGCUCUAACUCUUUGUACUGUAGUUUCUAGCUUUCUGUUGAAAUCUCGCUCUCCCUCCCUCUCUCUCUCUUCUUUUUUUAGCUCGAGUUUCUUGGCCUACCAUAUCCUCCCCCAUACAUGAGCAUACGUGGAUCGGUGACAGCGCUUAAAGGCCUAAAUUAUGCAUUUGACUCUUGUGGCAUUCUACCAGAAACUGGAAGCCAAUUGUGUAAGCUUAGGCAUGAGUCAGUCAAGUUAAUUAAUUAUUAGAUGAAGUUGGUUUAGUUAACUGGUGCUCUUUAAUUAACAUCCAUCUUUUCAUCAUGUUUUGCUAAUGAGAUCAUUAAUUUAGAACCAUUCAAAUCCAAUUAAUCGCAGCCAACAUGCUUGGCAGGCAAGGAAUUGCUAUAUAUACUUGGUAUGAGUUUUCUUUCAUCUUUUUCUACUUUUGCAGGGUAAAUGCUUAGAUCUAAAAGACCAGAUAGAUUUGUUUCAACGAACAGAUUUGUUUCAACGAACAGUGAAGUCAGACUUGCCAGGACAAAUAAAAAAUCAAAACGAUCUUUUGCAGCACUUGUUCAAAUCUAUAUUUCUGUUUUCUGUUGGCAGCAAUGAUUUCAUCAACAACUACCUCGAACCUGCGGUCUUCGAUACAAGCAAGCGCUACUCUCGUCAACAAUUUGUACAAGUCUUAAUGGAUGCAAUUGCUCGCCAUAUGGAGACGCUAUACAAUUUAGGAGUCAGGAAAACAGUCAUGUUUGAAAUUGGUCCGCUUGGAUGCAUCCCGUCAAUUUCAAAAGCACAGAAUCACAGUGAACUGUGUGGAAGAUACAAAUGAUAGCCUCAGUUUUUAAUGAUGAGCUUCGCGCAACGCUUGCAAAUUUAACCACCAUUUUCCAAGGCUCUUUCUUUGUUCUUGGUCGAGCUAAUAGGAUUGGUUAUGAUGCAAUUACAAAUCCUAUUAAAUAUGGGCUAAUGGAUGGAAGCAGUCCAUGCUGCACUACUUGGGCAAAUGGGACUUCAGGGUGCAUUCCAUUUCUUACACCGUGUUCCGAACCAAAUAAUCACUUCUUUUGGGAUGCUUAUCAUCUUACUGAAUCUGCAUAUUCAGUUAUAGCAACAAGCUGCUUCAAUGGUUCAACUGUUUGCACCCC